GAUGAACGCUGGCGGCGUGCCUAAUACAUGCAAGUCGAGCGAACGGACGAGAAGCUUGCUUCUCUGAUGUUAGCGGCGGACGGGUGAGUAACACGUGGAUAACCUACCUAUAAGACUGGUAUAACUUCGGGAAACCGGAGCUAAUCCCGGAUAAUCUUUUGAACCACAGGGGUGAAAAGAGAAAGACGGUCUUUCUGUCACUACUCGAUGGAUCCGCGCUGCAUUAGCUAGUUGGUAAGGUAACGGCUUACCAAGGGAACGAGGCAUAACCGAACUGAGAGGGUGAUCGGCCACACUGGAACUGAGACACGGUCCAGACUCCUACGGGAGGCAGCAGUAGGGAAUCUUCCGCAAUGGGCGAAAGCCUGACGGAGCAACGCCGCGUGAGUGAUGAAGGUCUUCGGAUCGUAAAACUCUGUUAUGAGGGAAGAACAUAUGUGUAAGUAACUGUGCACAUCUUGACGGUACCUAAUCAGAAAGCCACGGCUAACUACGUG
rnacentral:rRNA from 1 species